CAGUACUGUUUCCAGCACUAAAAGAACUCACUUUGGAGGAUAUGGAUGGUCUUGAAGAAUGGGUGGUACCAGGUGGAGAAGGUGAUCGAGUAUUUCCUUGUCUUGAAAGGUUGAGCAUUUGUAAGUGUGACAAGUUGAAAAGCAUUCCGAUAUGUGGUCUUUCAUCUCUUGUAAAAUUUGAUAUUAUAUUAUGUGAUGAACUGAGAUAUUUUUCUGGUGAGUUUCGUGGCUUCACGUCUCUUCAAAUUUUAGAGAUACGGUCUUGUCCAAAGCUGGCAUCCAUUCCAAGCGUACAACACUGCACAGCUCUGGUGGAAUUGAGUAUAUUGGACUGCCAUGAGUUGAUCUCAAUUCCUGGUGAUUUUCGAGAAUUGAAUUCUUUGAAGAAAGUGAUUGUUGAUGGGUGUAAAUUGGGAGCUCUUCCAAGCGGACUACGAUGUUGCGCAUCUCUAGAGGUAUUGUACAUAUGUGGUUGGAGUGAGCUUAUCCGUAUUAAUGAUUUACAAGAAUUGUCUUCGCUACGAAUUUUAAGGAUUAGAUGUUGUGAUAAGCUCAUCAGUGUUGAUUGGCAUAGUUUACGACAAUUGCCUUCUCUUGUUGAUUUAUCAAUCAGUUGGUGUCCUAGUUUGAGUGACAUCCCAGAGGAUGAUUGGUUAGGCAGCCUCACCCAACUGAAGGCAUUGAGCAUCGGUGGUUUCUCAGAGGAGAUGGAGGCUUUUCCUGCUGGAGUUUUAAACUCAAUCCAACACCUCAACUUGAGUGGGUCCCUUGAAUCUCUAGAGAUAGUUGGAUGGGAUAAACUGAAAAGUAUACCACACCAACUUCAACACCUCACUGCCCUUACUAGCUUGUUUAUAAGGGGUUUCAAUGGAGAGGAGUUUGAGGAAGCAUUGCCAGAAUGGUUGGCCAACCUUUCUUCUCUUGGAUCUCUUACUAUUUGGGAUUGCAAGAAUCUCAAGUAUCUGUUAAGUUCAACAGCCAUUCAACGCCUCUCCAAAUUAAAGGAAUUGGAGAUUUGGAAUUGUCCACAUCUUGAAUAAAAUUGUGAGUGGUCCAAGAUUUCUCAUAUCCCAAAGAUAGAUAUAUAGACGGUAGAUACUUUGUAAUAUGUAGUGAGGAGAGAGAACCAAUUAGAGAGAACCAAAGUAAUAAUUAAACUUCAUUCUUUUAAAAAUGGUUUCUUUCUCAUAUCCCAACAUUCUUUAGAGUAAUAUAAAAAAUAACCAAAUCAAUCAUAAUAAAAAACAAUUAUUAGAUUUUUAUUAUCUUUUAUUAUUAUAUUAAUAAAAUUUAGAUUUGUGAUCAAUGAUAAUAUCAAUAACCGUCACUCAUUAUUGUAAUAUUACUUGUACCUUCAAUCAUUAUUUUAGAAUCAUUAAUUUUAUAUACAAUUAUGAUACUUAAAACAAACUAUUAAAUCUUAAAAUUAAAUACAUAUAAAUUUAAUGAUGAUUUUUUAAAAUUAAAAAAUUAUAACCAUGAAAUCAAUAAUUUAAAAAUUAUAAUAAAAAAUUUGCCUAAUCGUUUCUUGCCUACAUGUAGUAACCAAUUUUAACAAAUUGCUUCCAUAUAGCUAUUAAACAAACAGCUUCCAAGAUUUAAAAAAGAAUCCAACGUAAAAGGGAUGCAAAAUCUUAACAGUUCAACUUCUGUUAGUUACAUGCAUAAAAAUAUAAAUUUGGUUUAAACCUUCUUAUUGAGCUCAAAGCACAAAAUAGUUUGGAAGAAAAAUGCUGCAAAUAAUGGUUCCAAAAAAGAGUAAUUCACCACUAGUUCUGUUGCUUAACAUAGAGGCUCUGAUUUGAAUAAUAAAAUACCGAUGUAGGAAAACCAAAGCAACACCAAAAGUACAUUCAGGUAAACAUUUUAAAUUAAUAAGGUUAGCUUCAUUUGGCUACAAGACUUUAUCACUCUCCCAUAUUGUUGUCUACAAGACUUUAUCGACUGAAUGUAUCUCAAUUUUCUGCUAUUUGGCUAAAUUUUCAACCCAACUAGCUACCCCAUGAAAAUGAAGCCCAUGAAAUCUGUCAUCACUUGCAAGUCCUGAUCUGGCAACGCAAGAACUGCUCCUAAUACAUUGUUCUUGGGACAAACAAUUGCCGUCGACGCCAUCCUUCAGUUUGUGGAAUUUCAAUUUCAAUCUGAGAAUGAUAAAUUUCUAUCAGUCAUCCACUAAUUUGUUCAUUCAAUUAUUCAUUCUUCUGUUUCAAACCAACCAGUCGACUUGGAGUUACAAUUGCUGAAGGCACUAUUUGUUCCUUCAAUUCGAAUUUUACAUGUUAUCAAAGAGCCAUUCAACUCAUCAAUAGAUCCAAAAUUUCUAUGGUACGGCCUCGGUCUAACUCAGACACAGCAUUGGCAUUUACAUGCAUUGUCCACCUUCUGCUAAAAUAAGAAAAGAUUAAUGGCUAAACAUGUGCAAAGAAUAAUAAAAAAAAAAGAAUCAAAGAAGCAUUUACUAAAAUCAUCAAGAAAUAUUUACAUACAUUGGAAGAAGAAUACAAGCAUCAUCUAAGUUAGUAGCUGAAAACUGUGAGCUGUAUCAACAAUGACAUUGGGUACAAAACUUAAACUCGGUGAGAAAUGGGGAGGGGGGGCUAACCUUGAACAAGAGGUGGAGCUUUUCAUGGCAGCAAGGGAAAAAGUGGAUGCAGAGUGCCAAAAUAGGUGAAAAAAGAGCGUGCGGAGGUCUGGGAAGGCUGCGGAAGUGUAAAAGACAGACAUCAUCGUGUGGACUCUAACCAUAUAACGUAAUCGUUUUCUUCCUCCUCUCUGUUUUUUAGUUAGUUACUAGUGAUUUUCCUUUAGGAUGUCACGUUUCAAUUUGAAAUAUAUUUUUAUUUAGUUUUUUAUUGUUAUUAACAAAAUAUUUAUGAGAUAUACAAUUGUUAAAAUUCUAGACAGAACAAAAUAGAUAUUCUAAAAAUAUAUAUAUAUUGUUAAACUAAUUAUUCUUUUUUUAUUCAUGUAUUUUUUUUAUUUGAAUAAACAUAUUAUUUAUUAGUAGUUCAUUUUUCGAAUAAAAAACAAUGAAAUUUAAAAUAAAAAUUUAUAAAAAGUUAAAAAAUUUGAAAUAAGUAUAACAUUUUUAUAAAAUAUAUUUUCUAUUCAGAAGCACUGUCAUGAUAUUAAAAGCAUUGUUUUUUUUUUUUAAUAAUAAGCAAGAAUUUUUUCAUUCUAAACUCUAUUUUUUAUUAAUGGAUUUAUUUUUUAUUUUAAUAAAAUAUAUUUUGUAAUCAGAAGCAUUAUUGUUAAAUGAAAUCAUAUCAUGAUCUAAAAAAAAAUGUAAUAGAAUUAUGUCUUAUAUUUUCCGUGUGACAGAAGGAAACAAUUAAUUAAGGUAACAAGGUUAUGUAAAAAACUCAAAAAAAAAAUAUUAAUGCGCACAUUUUAAAAUGUUUUUGGGUAUAUGACAAUUAAAAAAUAUAAUAUUAUUUAAAUACUAUGGUAAAAUUAUUAUUAUUUACUUUUAUUUAAAUUUAUUUACAACAAAUUUUAAUCAAAAUCUAGAGAGAGAGAAAAGAAAAAAAAACUAAAGGGCUAUAAAAAGAGGUUCAUUUAAGAGAUCGGACUUGUGCACUUAACUUGAUAAAAAGAAGGCUAAGCGUGCUAGGGCUUGCAAUGCAAGGUCAAACAUAUAUACUUGGUUUUUUUCUUCAUUAAAUAUUAAUGAGUUUAUUGUUUUUUUUAUUUUAUUUAUAAAAACUCAAUGACAAGUCAUCCAUUUUGGUAGAUAAUAUGUGGUGUGUUGUAUAGAUUUCGACCACAUUAAAACCAUUGCUUAACUAAAAAUUUAUUUGUAAACCCUUUUUUAUCUUGAGAAAUACUUAAUAAACAUCUUAAAAAUCAAAUCAAACCCAUUGCUAACCUAAAAGCACCCUUCAAUUAGUCCAAAAACCCAAAUUAAAUAAUAAUAAAAAAAAUCUUUAUAAAGUACGAUCUAUUUCUUACAACAAAAUGAAAGUUUUAAACCACCUUAAUUUUUGCAUGAAAGACAAACACAUUCGCAUUAAAAAUGACUUUUUUGUUAUUGAAAUAUAAAAAACCAACCUUUUUUUCCUGUUUUUUCUUUUUAUUGAUGAUUUUCUCUUUAAUUUGUCAAACUCAAGGACUGCAACAUUAAACAAAUGAAGUUUAUGAUCAAAAUAUAUAUUAUGAAAACCACAAGGACUAAAAAUUUGUAAAGUAAAUAUUUAUUGACCAAAAUGAGAAGGACUCCAUUUGGUUUUUUUGGUUUUUAAUAAGGUCCUACUUCUUUAAAUUAUUUUUUAUGUAAAUAUAAAUUUAAUUUCAUUAAAUUAGUUUCUACCUUAAUUUUUAUAAAGUUUAUUAAACACUAUGAAUUCAUAAAAAUAUGCAAAGAAAAGAAAAUCUCAACAUAUAAAAUAUAUCCAACAUAAUAUAAAAGGAUAAAAUAUAUAAAAAAGGAAAGUUUUAUAACCAAAAUGAAAAAUAAAAAAAGUACAUUCAUGUUAUAUAACACAAAUAUUUAAUAUUAAAAAUCAAUUAACAAAUAAAAAAAGUAAAUUCAUGUUGUAUUUAUGAAUUUCUUAGAUUUAUACAACUAGUUUUUCAAAUUUAUUCAAUUAGGUUAGCUCAGUGAUUAUUUGAUGAAUAAUUCAUCUUAACUUUUUUUUAUUGAAAAAAAAAAAAACAAUGACAUUCGACGAUGACAUGUGAUUUCACGCACUACCAAUGGCAAUGGCUAUAGAGACUAUGUGCCACCACUCUUUUAAUUUUUCCAAUGUAACUUGGAAACUCCUUUGAUCAUUCAAACCUAGUCCAGAAGGUGUUCUGCAAAUUUAGGAUGAUUUUGUGCUUGUUAUGAUUAUUAUGGAUUUGUAAUAAAUGUAAAUGUGUGUGCUUUCAUUUUCUUAUAUGUUUUUUUUAUUUCAUAGAGUAAGGAAAAUAAAGAAAACUAGACAACUAUAGGGAAAAAAGGUUCCUAGUUGAUCUAAAAGACUAACAAUUCCUUAUAGUAGCAUGUCCCAAACAGUAAAUCCUUGAUCAUUACUAUCACCUAGUUUGGCCUUGAAAUCUGCACACGUAUUUGCUUUUCUGUAAAUAUAUUGGAUCCUCACAUACUAACUUCAAGCUAGCAACCUUCUGAUAUCCCAAAUAAUAGAUUUAUUUUCGUGAAAUCCCACCUUGUUAAUAAUCGAAUUAACUUCUUUAUAGUCUGAAUUACAGAAAUCCUUCUUGAAUUUAAGCCAUGAUAAAUGCCUAACUAAUAGGAACAACCCUGAUUUUAUAUUGAAGAUCCAUAGGAAUUGUCGUUGCCAAAUCUGUAAUCUUUCCAUAUAUAUCCUCAACCUGCUUAUCAACAUCCAUAAUAUUGACAAAAAGAACACAAGAAGCCAAAGGAUCUCCUUCCAACCAGCAAUCAUACUAAAUAGGUAUGUCUUCAUAACCAAUCCGAUGCAUAAACCCAUUUUUAAAAAAAGAAAAAGCUUUAACAAUUGACUUCCAAGUAUAAGAACUUGUAAGAAGUUGAUCUAAAGGUAGAAAAAAUCAAGCAUUCUCAUAUAUUUAUGUGUGAGAACCCUUGCCCACAACUUCUCAGGGCUAUUUAUAAGAUGUCAUGUCAGCUUACCCAAUAAAACAAUGUUCCCAAGCCUAGUUUAGGACAAGUAAGAGUACUCCAUGAGGCAAGUGGUCUUAGAACAACUCCAACGGAGCAGCCAAAUGGAAAGUAAAACCUCAUUUGCCUUUUAUUUCUUUACUAUUUGCAUUGCAACCAAAAAGCUAAGUCAAAAUUGCUAUUUGUACUCUUAACAGCCAUUUUUACAUUUAACUGUAGAAAUGGCCAAAAUGACCAACGACUAUUUUUAUAACCAUUGGCCAACAAUUUUUAUUUUUUUUAAAUAUAGAAAUUUUUUUCUAUAAAUAAAUGAAGAAAAAACUUGUAGUUUUAAAUUUUUCUAUUGUGCUUCACCCUUCUCUCAAAUUUAAAAAAACAAGAAGAAAUUAUGAAAAUGGAUAUUUCUAAUUUGGUUCCAAUUUCUUGGUUAUUUUAAAUACAUUGUUAUGAAAUUGAUAUCAAUUCGUAAUACUUUUAUAAGUUUGAAUUUAAAUUUACUUUUAAAAAAUUAAUUUUUUAACAAUAACAUAUAAAACUUAAAAUUAAAAAUAUUCAUAUAAAUAAAUUUUAAAUUUAAUUUUAAAUUAUAUUUUUUAACUUUCAUAUUACUUCAUUAAUUUUAUAUUACUUUUAUAAAUUACUCAUAUUAAUUAUAUAAUUAAUAACAUCAUAAUUAUAUUAUAUAUAAAAUAUCUAAAUUAGUUAUAUAAUUAUAUUAAAAUUAAUUUAACAUGAAAUAUAUUAAAAUAUAAAUGGCUUUUCUAAAUAGCUUUUUACCAUUGGAAUGCACAUAAUACAAAAAGCUAUAUUUAUACUAUUUAAAAAACCAUUUUCUUCAUUUGGCUCUUCAAAAUGACAUUUCUCAUUGGAGAUGCUCUUAGGAAACCAAAAACUUUACAUAGAAUACUUUGGCAAAGCCAUGAGGACUAAUUUGGUUUGGUUUGGGCAUUUCCCAUCUUCAUCUUCUAAUUUGAUAAUCUAAUCUUAAUGUUUUUAAUAACAAAAUUGAAAUGGUCUUUCUUUACCCUACCUUGAAUCAAAGGAAAACCUAAAUAUUUUCCUAACUCACUGGCAGUAUGAAUAGAUGAGAGCUAAGAAAUCUUACAUUUCUUCCUUCUGCUAACAGACUUGGAACACAUGAUUAUGGAUUUCACCAAGUUAAUUUUUAGCCCAAAAGCCAUGCAAAACUAUGAUAAAACAUUAUUAAUCAAUCUAACUUGUGAAUUCCUAGCCUUCGAGAACAAAAACAUAUCGUCUAUAAAGAGCAAGUGGGAGAUCUCAGGUCCUCCUCUUGACACUCUGACUGGCUCCCAUUUCCCAUAUGAGAUUAUAUCAAAUAUUAAUAAAGAUUAAUGUAUCACAAUUAUUGAUGGAUUGUUGUAAAAGAAGUGUUAAUUGUUUAUCCACUCAUAAAAUAAUAUUAUUUAUUUAGAUUUGAAUUUUAAAUCUUCAGUUUUAUUUUUAAAUUUCCAUUGAAUGUAUUAUUUGUUAUAUCUAGGUAAGUUUACUAUCUAGUGUAGAAAGUUUUUCAAUUUAGUUAUAUUAAGUAUGGAUCUACAAUAAUAAUGAUAAUAAUUCAAGUUAAAAACAAGAAAUAUAUCAAAAUUGAAGUUAUGUAAAUCUUAAAAACUAAUAGUGUAUUUUUUUAUAUAAAUAGUUUAUUUUGAUGAUUUGAAAAAAUAAAAUUCCUCAACAAGGAAAAAAAGUAUAACCAUUUUUGUUUUUUUAAGAAAAUAAAUUUGGUAAGAAAAGGUAAAUUUUGAAUAUCCUAACUAUUAAAAAAUAAAAGACUUCCUACUUUCAGUUAUAUUUUCUAAUAUAAAUAUAAUAUUAACAUUUAAUAUCACCAUUUUGUCAAAAAUCAAAUUAAAAAUAUCUUGAUCUAUUUAAAAAUAAAAUAGAUUGUAAAAUCGGAUUAACAAACUAUAAAAAUGGAAAGAACACCAUCCUUUUAUUGUCUCUAAUAAAAUACAAAUUUAAAUUAGCCACUAUGAUACAGGGAAAGUGUUUUUUUGUCGAAUCAAAUGUAUCUAUGAAGUUGUUCGGCUACCUUGUAGAUAUAGAUAAUAGGCAGAACAUGAGUAUUGAAUAAAAUUAAACUUCGAACCACAAGAUAAAACCAAAAUGGUGUAGGGGCAACGCAACAUCCCGUAGAGUGAACUAUUCAGGCAGACUACAUUCUUAAUUUUUUUUUUUUUUUUUUAGCAGACAACUUGGUUUAUCUACUAUAUGUAAACACGUGUAUGUCCAAACCAGACGAUGUCAGGCUUCUCAUAUUUCCACCCUAUCAAUUCUACUUCCAUCUUCUUUCUCCUCCGUAUUGAACUCUCCUCGUGAAAUAAUAUUCAUGAUGGUCUUGGUGGCUUGGCCAACAGCACGGGAAGUCUUCUUUGCGGCACCAGCAACAACGGGCUGCAGGGAAAUGAUUGGCAAGCUAGCCCUUCUUGAAUCAUAGCUAGAUGUCAAAUAAUAGACAAAAACAUCAGUUCUGUAGAGAUCAAUAAAUAAUGACGGGAAAGAUAGUAGAAAGCACAGGAACUUACAAAUAGUAUGAUGGUGAGCAAGUGUCCCAAUCUGUCGAAUUCCAGCUUCUGCUGCUUGAACUGCUUGUGCUGAUUUAUUGACCCCAUCAGUUAUCUCUUGGCUGUAAUUCAUUGUGAUAAACCAUAUUAUUGUACUUGCAAAGCAUCUGAAAAAAUGAAAUUGUAUCCUUGGAGGCCAUGAGACUUCAUAGCACAUCUUGUUAAGGUUGUAGUAUUCCUCGAGAAAUUUUAUAGUAAAGUAAUUAGUGAUAUCCUAUUAGUUAUUCUCUAGAUUUAUUUUGAAGGAGAAAGAAAUCCUAGAUGUAAAUAUUCUUAUCACUUUUGAUGGGUUAUGGAUUUUAUUUUCUCACUUCCUUGUGUAUGUCUUUCUCUUCAAAGUGAUUUGAUGAGUUAAUAGAAUGCCUCUAGUUACUCCGUGUUCCAGUAUUUCUCUAGCUGUCAUCAGACAGGUUCACACACAAAUAGACAUCAGACAAGUAUAAGUUUCUAUGACAUGCAUAAAUAGACAUAACUAAAGGACCUAUAUAUCCUCAUGGACCUUUGUCACUGUCCCAAUUUCAAGGAGCAUCCUUUUAAUGGGUCAAGGAAAUCCAUGUUUCAAAGAGCAUCCUUUUACUGGGUUAAGGAAAUCCAUGUUUUGUUUAUAAGACAUGACACAUGAAACUGAUGCAAGCAGACUCCUUUGCAUAUAAGCUUGUCUAAUACAAAAUACUCUCAACCAGCAUUCAGACCACUGGAAAAGGAGAAGAAAAUAGGAAACAGAAUUGAUGAUAACCAAAGAGUUGCAGUUAGAGCUUGACUCUCACCUCAAAUCACUUAAUUCCAAUGUAAGAUCACUUAUUUCCAUGCCUGAAAGCCUAAUCGCAGCCAUUGUACUGGGAAGUUCCUCACGAGCAGUAUCUGCUAGCUUUGAAAGAGACGUUGCCGCUCUCCCCACUGCCUGCCAACCAGAGAGGAAAAAAAAUAGAUGAAAAAGAACAAUUAUAGACCUAAAAGGAAAACACUAUAAAAACUAAAUUGCAGACAAAAUGUAUGGGGAUUCACAUUUCACUUUUUUUUUUCACGGCAGGUAUUAACAAGGAUAUCAUUUAAUAAAGAUACAGCUAGCAAAACAAUUGGUUGGAACAAAAUCUAGCAAAAAUCAUAAACAUGCCAUUAAAAAGAUAAAAACUGCACUCGGGUGUAGAGUCAGAUAACUUACAAACAGUGUUGGAACGGCAGCGGCAACAAGGCAUGUAAAUGCUAUAGAAGUCUGCAAGCAAUCAAAGUAAGCCAUAUUUUCAGUAAUCAAAAAGCUAAUUUCACUCAUUGGCAACAAAUGUGAGUUUUGCAGAUCAAAGAAAUUAUAGUUUCACAACACAGUCCAGCUGCAAUAUUUACCAACACGGCAAUCAUUUUGAUUGGAUGAUUCAACUGAACCUGCACUAUCAAAGUUGAAAAAAAACCAGACGACAUCAGACUUCUCAUAUCUCCACCCUAUCAAUUCUACUUCCAUCUUCUUUCUCCUCCGUACUGAACUCUCCUCGUGAAAUAAUAUUCAUGAUGGUCUUGGUGGCUUGGCCAACAGCACGGGAAGUCUUCUUUGCGGCACCAGCAACAACGGGCUGCAGGGAAAUGAUUGGCAAGCUAGCCCUCUCUUGAAUCAUAGCUAGAUGUCAAAUAAUAGACAAAAACAUCAGUUCUGUAGAGAUCAAUAAAGAAUGACGGGAAAGAUAGUAGAAAGCACAGGAACUUACAAAUAGUAUGAUGGUGAGCAAGUGUCCCAAUCUGUCGAAGUCCAGCUUCUGCUGCUUGAACUGCUUGUGCUGAUUUAUUGACCCCAUCAGUUAUCUCUUGGCUGUAAUUCAAUUGUGAUAAACCAUAUUAUUGUACUUGGAAAGCAUCUGAAAAAAAUGAAAUUGUAUCCUUGGAGGCCACGAGACUUCAGAGCACAUCUUGUUAAGAUUUUAGUAUUCCUCGAGAAAUUUUAUGGUAAAGUAAUUAGUGAUAUCCUAUUAGUUAUUCUCUGAGAUUCAUUUUGAAGGAGACAGACACAAGGAAGGAGAAAGAAAUCAUAAAUGUAAAUAUUCUUAUCACUUUUGAUGGCUCAUGGAUUUUAUUUUCUCUCUUCCUUGUGUAUGUCUUUCUCUUCAAAGUGAGUUAAUGAGUUAAUAGAAUGCCUCUAGUUACUCCGUGUUCCAGUAUUUCUCUAGCUGUCAUCAGACAGGUUCACACACAAAUAGACAUAACUAAAGGACCUAUAUAUCCUCAUGGACCUUUGUCACUUUCCCCCCGCAUCAAUAUGUCACUGUCCCAAUUUCAAGGAGCAUCCUUUUAAUGGGUUAAGGAAAUCCAUGUUUCAAAGAGCAUCCUUUUACUGGGUUAAGGAAUCCAUGUUUUGUUUAUAAGACAUGACACAUGAAACUGAUGCAAGCAGACUCUUUCGCAUAUAAGCUUGUCUAAUGCAAAAUACUCUCAACCAGCAUUCAGACCACUGGAAAAGGAGAAGAAAAUAGGAAACAGAAUUGAUGAUAACCAAAGAGUUGCAGUUAGAGCUUGACUGUCACCUCAAAUCACUUAAUUCCAAUGUAAGAUCACUUAUUUCCAUGCCUGAAAGCCUAAUCGCAGCCAUUGUACUGGGCAGUUCCUCACGAGCAGUAUCUGCUAGCUUUGAAAGAGAUGUUGCCGCUCUCCCCACUGCCUGCCAACCAGAGAGGAAAAAAUAGAUGAAAAAGAACCAUUAUAGACCUUAAAUAAAAACACUAUAAAAAUUCAAUUGCAGACAAAAAUGUAUGGAGAUUCACAUUUCACUUUUUUUUUCACGGCAGUUAUUAUUAACAAGGAUAUCAUUUAAUAAAGAUACAGCUAGCAAAACAAUUGGUUGGAACCAAAUCUAGCAAAAAUCAUAAACAUGCCGUUAAAAAGAUAAAAACUGCUCUAAUCAAAGGAAGAACACACGGGAAUCAAUAGAAACCAUGUUGCUUCUCAAUGAAAACACUAUUCCUGCACGUUUUCUCAUCUUCAAAGCACAAGUGAAAGGCAAAGUCAACAGCUGAAGUUUAUUUAUAUCAUGAGUAAUUUAGCAACAACACCUUGUACAGAACAAUGUCGUUUGCAUCAAUUUUAACCACCAUCACGGUUGCUUUUUAUGUUAAAUAGGUCUAUUUAAUUAGAGGAAUUUAUCCUGAAUGUUUUUUCUUUAUCCAGAACAUUGCGCGUGUCAAGAGAAUAUAGGGAGAGGGAGGGACCCUCUGCUUUCAAGUUGUCUACAGGCUCAGAUGGAUUUGGACACUCAAGAUAAGAAGGUAGGGUCAUGUUCUUCGCCUUUGCAUGACUAAUUUGACAGCAGUGGUUCGUGGAAGAUGCUGCCAGCUGCAAUCAAUCAAUUAAUACAGUGAGGGAGGGACCCUCUACUUUCAAGUUGAAUGCAUCUCCCCAUCCCAAAACAUUACUGAAUUUUGUAAUUUUUCUUGUGUUCUAGGAAGAGUAAUUACGGAAAUUCAAUAUAUAUAGAUUAAUAAGUUGCUUCAUCUUUGAAUCUGUCCUAGGUUUAAUGUGAACAUAGGAUCGAGGGAGUUGGCUGGCUUCAUAUGCAGCAGACGACGAAAGGUCUAGCAUUAAUAUCCUUAGGUGAGACAGAUUGACAGUGAGAAAUUUAUGAUGUUCUAUUGCUAAAAAUAUAGUGAGAAAUUUACGAAAAAUGUAAAAUGAAAAAUCUGCAAAAAGUUGAACUAAAUACAAUAUGCCGACAGAGGCGGAUGAGUUGCUAUCAUUUAUUGAAGAUAGUAUAUUAUAAGCAAACAAGAUUACGGAUGUUAGGGUUCUUUUUUCUCUUCUUUAUUUCCUUAGCUCUUAAUUUUAAUUUUAACUUUUACUCUUAAAAUUAAAUAAAAUAUAAAUAAUAAACUAAUAAUAAACAAUAAAUUUCUAUAUUUUACUUUUUCAAAUUUUAAUAUUUAUUAAUUAUUAAAGAAUUAACUAUGAGAUUUAUUAUAUUUUUUAACAAUAGCAUGGUUUAUUAUUACAUUUUUUUCUGCCUCGUUUAAAUUCAUUUAUUUAUAUUCAUAAAUAAAGUGUAUGUACUGACACUACUUUCUUACAGGCUUGAACACACAAGAUAAGAAGGAAGGGUAAGAUGCUACCAGCUGCAAUCAAUCAAAGAGGGAGGGACCCUCUGUUUUGAAUUUGAAAUCGUAUCUCAUCACUCCAAAUGAAACACAUUUCACUUUAUCUUCAAAGAUUUUAUUUGUUUUUUAGGUAAUUUUUAUAGUUGUAAUUUAUAAAAAAGUAUAGUUGGAUUAAAUACAAAUGGUAUUAAGAAGAUAUAGUUAGUUGAAAUAAAAUGUUUGGUAUAAGUAUGGUUUUGAUUGUUUUUUAAAGUAUUUUUUAUUUAGAAAUACAUUAAAAUAAAUUUUUUUAUUUUUUAAAAUAUAUUUUUAAUAUCAGCACAUCAAAAUGAUUUGAAAACACAAAAAAUAUAUUAAUUUUUAAUGACACAACUAAACACUAGAAAAUAUUUUUUAAUUUAUUUUUCAUCAUACUAUUAAAUAUCAAAAAAUAAUUUAUUGAGAAAAAAGAGAAGGAAAGGGAAGGAAAGAAAAAAGAAAAGAUAUCAUCCACUAAGGGAAGCAAUGAAUGAUCUUUGCUUUUCCACACAGUAGUAUGUGUAUGUAUUGGCAGGUACAGGGCAAGGCAAUAUUAGUAUUUAAUGCGUCACGAUGUGUUUUAGGAAAUUUAUUGGUAUUUAAUUUUAAGAUAAUUAAAAUAAGUAUUUGUCAAAAAAUUGAUAAAUUAAUUUUACAGAAAAAAGUCAAAAUUCUCUUUUAUUAUUUAUUAUUUAUCUUGACAAAAACAUAUAUAUAUUUUAAUUAGCAACAUAGUUGUUUUAAUAAAUAAAAAACUUGAUGAUGUAAAUAAGUAUUCAAGAAUUUUUAAUUUUUGUAAAUUAAAAAGGAAAUACUAAAUGGUUGUUAAUAAAUUUAAUUUUUAUAUUAAUUUUGAUCUUUAUUUUUAUUUUGCUUUUCUUUUAUUAUUUUUUAUUUGAAAAUUUUUAUUUAUCAAAUAAACAAGACAAUGUAUGUCAUGAUAAAAUGCAAAGUUAACUAAUUUCAUUCGGCAAUUUAAAUUCUAUGUUUGUCUAAUUUCUUUAGGUUUACUAUUGUGAGGGUCCUGUCAGCUAAGAUCUUCUACAACAGUCAAUCACUUUUGAAAAUCAGCUGAAGGCUCGAAGUGUCUGUUUUGUGUAAUUUUCCUUGCCUUAAUUUCCUUGGCUAGCUGUGUGUGACGAUUUGUGAUCAAUAAAUUGAUAAGUUUUUGGUUGUUCUGAAUUAUUGGCUUGCCUCUUUAUUUUAUUCAACUUAUCUUUUAUUAUUUAUUUUUUUAUCUUGACAAAAACAUAUAUAUUUUUUAAAUUAGCAACAUAGUUGUUUUAUUAAAAAAACUUGGUAAUUUAAAUAAGUAUUCUUAAAUUUUUAAUUAUUUAAAUUAAAAGGGAAAUCCUGAAUGGUAGUUUAUAAAUUUGUUUUGCUCUUUGUUUUUUAGUCACUUUUUUUAUAUUUUGUUAUAUGCUUUCCACUUGUCCCGUCUUUCUUAACAUUUGUAGAUGGAGCGCAUGCGUGGUCCUUCUGCCUGAAGAGUAUACCAUUUGUAGAUGGAGCGCAUGCGUGGUCCUUCUGCCUGAAGAGUAUACCAGUGAGAGAUGAUUCGGUCAUUUACAAUUUUCUCACAAAUUAAUAAAGAUGAAAGCAUAGUUGUUAAGAUUUUAUUUUUACAAUCUUUUUGAUUUAUGAAUAUGCUUUCUUUUUUCUUGAUUUUUCAGUACCAUUUAGAAAUACUCAGUAAAUUAAUUUAAAUAUAGAAAAUCAAUAUAGAAGCAUUACAUUUUUAUAAAACAGAUAAUUUAGCCUGGUCUCAAAGAGUUUUAAAAUUCUCCCUUGAUCUAUUAAGUGUAGAUUUUCUUAAAACCUCAACCCCAGUUUUUAUGGGAACACAUAAAUAAAAAGACUCCCAAAAUCUCUUUUCAAAUCAAGUAAAGGAUUAGAAGAGCUGUCAAAUCUAUUGUGGAUUGGGUGCUUGAAAUUUCUUCAAACUUUAGUCAUCUUUAAUUGUGAAAAUCUAGAAAAUUUGGUCUUAGAAGCACUAUUAUUAAACCCGGCCCGGGUUUAAUAAAAGACCGGCUGUGACAACCGGCCAAACCCGGGUGACCUGGCUGGUCGACCUGGGACCCGAGCGAACCCAGACGAGACCUGUUUUUUUUUUUUUUUUUCAAAUGUGGGAUAAAAAAAUUUUUGGUUUAAAUAUUUCAACUUAAAAUGACAACAUAGUAUUUGAAACCCAUUAGUAUAUAUACUCUAUGUUCCCAAGGAAAAAAUCAUGUUUUUUCAAUGUGGUAUAAAAAACCUUUUGGUUUAAAUACUUCAACUUAAAAGGAUAACAUAAUAUCUUUUUCAAUGUGGGAUUUGAAGCCCUUUCAUAUAUAUAUAUUCUAUGUUCCCAUAAAAAAGUUAUGUUUUUUCAAUGUGGGAUUUGAAACCCAUUAGUAUAUAUACUCUAUGUUUCCAAGGAAAAAACCAUGUUUUUUCAAUGUGGGAUAAAAAAUCUUUUGGUUUAAAUACUUUAAGUUAACAUAGUAUCUUUUCAAUGUGGGAUUUGAAGCCCUUUCAUAUAUAUACUCUAUGUUCCCAUGAAAAAAGUUAUAUUUUUUCAAUGUGAGAUUUGAAUCCUAUUAGUAUAUAUACUCUAUGUUUCCAAGGAAAAAGUUAUGUUUUUUCAAUGUAGGAUAAAAAUCUUUUUUAAAUAUUUUUUGAAAUUUCAUUAUUUAUAAUAUAUAUAAUCUAUAUUUACAUUGAUUUUUUCAUAUAAAAUAUUAAAACUUUAAUUUGUUUUUAAUUUUCUCGGGUUAAUCUGAGUUGACUCGGGUUGACCCAUGAAACCCGAGACUUUGUCCCUUGGCCGGGUCAAUCCCCGAGCCGGGUUUAAUAACUAUACUUAGAAGUCUUCGGAUAUUGGUUAUUGGUGGAUGUAGUAGCUUGAUUUCUUUUCCAGGAAGCAUAAGAUGCCUACCUACUCUGGAAGAUUUUUGUAUUAUUGAAGGUAAAAAGCUUGAUUUAAUAAUAAUAGAAGAAGAGAAAAUCCAACCACUUUCCCUUCGUAUUGUAAUAUUUGAAGAGUUACUAAUAACUUUUGCUUUACUACAAUCUCUACAAACAUUUAUCAUUAAAUAGUGUCCAAACAUAUCCCUAAAAUCAAGCUUAACAAUGAUAACAGUGGUGAAGGGUUAUGAGGAUUUAAAUCUAUUAUAUUUAGUUUCGCAUUUUUAUCCACUCUUCAAUUCCUUUUAUUUCACUUAAAUUAUUUUCCCUGAAAAAAAAUGCAAUGUUUAUUUGGCAAAACCUUUUUUGUUUUGGAGGGGCAAGUUCAAGUGGAACUUCAUUAGAUUUAACUAGAGGAAAAGAACAAGACAAGGCAUGUCAUGAUAAAAUGCAAAGCUAACUAAUUUCAUUCAACAAUUUAAAUUUCUUUGAACUUAAUACAUCAUUAUUAAAUUCUAUGUUUGUCUAAUUUCUUCAGGUUUACUACAAUGAGGGUCAUGUCGGCUAAAAUCUUUUACAACAAUCAGUCACUUCCAAAGAUCAGCUUAAGGCUUGGAGUGUCUGCUUUGUGUAAUUUCCCCUGCCUUAAUUUCCUUGGCUAGUUGUGUGUGAUGAUUUAUCAAUAAUAAAUUGAUAAACUUUUGGUUGCUCUGAAUUAUUAGCUUGCCUCUUUCUUCUAUUCAACUUAUCUUAUUUAAAAUAAUUGUGUGAUCAUUUAAAUAAUUAUGUUUAACAUAUAAAUUCAUCCUUCUAAACAAACUAAAAAACUGAAGUUCGGAGGAGAAGUAGCAAUUAUGCCACUUGUUUCAAAUAAUACAACAGUCAUCAAGAACUUCAAACUUACUGAAAUGUCUCAUUCAUGAGUUUCAAAGAUCUUAAAGAAGAGACAUCCAUUUCCGCACCCUUCAAGAACAUCUACCCUUUCUUUAUAUCGGUGGCUACAAAUCUAGUGAUAAAUUUACGAAAAAUGUGCAAGAGGUUGUUCUAAAUACAUACAAAGCUGACAGAGGCGAAUGUCGAAUUUUCUCAGCCAUGGCAUGACAAAUUGACAGCGGUAGUUCGAGGAAGAAGCUGCCAACAACCAUCAAUCAAUUAGUAUAGGGAGGAAGGGACCCUCAUGCAACUAUGCUCUAAAGUUGAAUGUAUCACAUCAUUCCAAAACACACUUUGAUUCAUCUUUUAAUAUUUCACACCAUACUUCUCUUUCUCUUGUGCUCCAAAUUUCUUUUUUGCUACAAAAGAAUCUGUUUUUUUUUUGGGUAAUUUGUGCUUUUUUCUUUAUAUCUUGUUAGUACUUCAUAACUAUGAAUUUGUAUUAACUCUUGUAUUAAGACAAUUAAAUUAUUAUGAAGUUAGUUUUGUUGUUACUGUUGCGUUGAAUUCUGAUUGACUUAUUUGAAGGAUAAGUUUGUAUGUAAGUUUGGGUUCGCAUAGGUAUGAAAAUUUUUAUUGUUUUUAAUUUCACCUAUCAAUCUAAGUUUAUAGUGUAAAACUAUUUUUUAUUUUAAUCUUUUUUCUUUUGAUUUUUUUUUUGUUUUGUUAAUAUUUUUUAUUCUUUUUAAUUUAACUUUCAAAUUUAAAACAUGUUGUUGCCCUUAGAUUUAUUUUUUAUUGCACUUUUAAUCCUUAUUAUUUUUAUUGUAUUUUUUUUAUUUUGAAUUUUUUUGUAUUGUUAAUUUAUAUAAGCUUAAGUCUCAUAACUUUUUCAUAUAUAAUAUUUUCGGUUUUAUAACUCGGAUUACGGUUUAAAAAAUUAACAAUAAUUAACUAUUUUUGUCUUAUGCUUUUGAGAUUCAAAAAAAAUAAAUAUAUAUAUAUAUAUAUAUAUAUUAAAAAAAAAAUUUAUAACUUUUUUAUUCUCAUUUCAUUUAUACUUUGUUAGCAAAUAAUUUCAGAUGUAAGUUCAAGAACAUGGAUCGUCAUGUUGAGACAAACCCAUAGGACCAAAUCCCAGGCAAAAGAAAGUUACAGCAAAGAAUAAAGAGGGGAGCACCAAAUUAAUGACAAUUGAAUGGCAAUCACUGUAUCAAAUGGCAUUGUUCUACUUUUGUGGGAACCGACAGAUUAAUUUGGAUCUGCAGAGAUUUGAGAGAUCUUACCUUUUUAUCUGAAGACAUUGUAGCAUGGCAUGUCUGGCGCUGCACUGAAAACGACAGUUUUAGGAUUUACCACAGCAUGAAAAGCUUCCAGAGGGACACAUGAGCUCUUAAGCACUUGGCAGCAUAUUUUCUGAUAGCAUUUUUGAAAAAAAUUAAAAUAUUUUUGGCAACUAGUUUUUAUUUUUUAACUAAGUCAGUAUAUACUCUAACAACGUGAUGGAUUAUGUUAUUUCUAAUUUAGUUUCCGCUAAAACAUUUCGUCUACAGUAUAUACCCAACUUUAAGGGCAGAAAAGUUUGAGAAAUCAAACUUAUUGCUUGGAUGGUGAAGAUUUUUUCCAAGGAUAAACAAAUUCUGAUUUGCUGAGAAUAAUAGUGGCUGCUGAGAAUGAUAGAGCCAGUUUGAUCCUAAUAUAUAGCAAUUUUAUUCAAGUGUAAAUUGCAGUGCUGAUGUGAUCUGAGCAAGGCAUUACAGCCUCUCUAUUAAGUUUUUCUCCAUUAUAUAAGAUUUGCAUGCACAAGACGAAAAUAGCAACUUAAUUAGUUGUGGUAAAUUCAACAGCCUCUACAAACUCAUUCCAACCUCAAAGUCGAUUUUAAUUCGUCCAGAAAGUUUUAGAAACUUCAACAAGUCUUGAAAACUAAACUAUUUUUAACACAACCCUGCAAGAACAAAAAUAAAGAUAGCAAGCAAACCCUGAGUCUAUUUUUAUCCAGCUUGGAGAUUUAAAAAAAAAGCAAUGAAACAGACUCAUACAUUGCUGGCUGCGUUGCAUUGGUUGUUAUCCAUGGCUGAGAAGGAAAGAAAGAGCAUCAAAUCUAAUCAAAGGAAGAACACACGGGAAUCAAUAGAAACCAUGUUGCUUCUCAAUGAAAAGACUAUUCCUGCACGUUUUCUCAUCUUCAAAGCAAAAGUGAAAGGCAAAGUCAACAGCUGAAGUUUAUUUAUAUCAUGAGUAAUUUAGCAACAACACCUUGUACAGAACAAUGUCGUUUGCAUCAAUUUUAACCACCAUCACGGUUGAUUUUUAUGUUAAAUAGGUCUAUUUAAUUAGAGGAAUUUAUCCUGAAUGUUUUUUCUUUAUCCAGAACAUUGCGCGUGUCAAGAGAAUAUAGGGAGAGGGAGGGACCCUCUGCUUUCAAGUUGUCUACUGGCUCACAUGGAUUUGGACACUCAAGAUAAGAAGGUAGGGUCAUGUUCUUCGCCUUUGCAUGACUAAUCUGACAGCAGUGGUUCGUGGAAGAUGCUGCCAGCUGCAAUCAAUCAAUUAAUACAGUGAGGGAGGGACCCUCUGCUUUCAAGUUGAAUGCAUCUCCCCAUCCCAAAACAUUACGGAAUUUUGUAAUUUUUCUUGUGAGUUAUUGUGUUCUAGAAAGAGUAAUUACGGAAAUUCAAUAUAUAUAGAUUAAUAAGUUGCUUCAUCUUUGAAUCUGUCCUAGGUUUAAUGUGAACAUAGGAUCGAGGGAGUUGGCUGGCUUCAUAUGCAGCAGACGACGAAAGGUCUAGCAUUAAUAUCCUUAGGUGAGACAGAUUGACAGUGAGAAAUUUAUGAUGUUCUAUUGCUAAAAAUCUAGUGAGAAAUUUACGAAAAAUGUAAAAUGAAAAAUCUGCAAAAAGUUGAACUAAAUUCUAUGUUUGUCUAAUUUCUUCAGGUUUACUACAAUGAGGGUCCUGUCGGCUAAGAUCUUAUACAACAGUAAGCCAAUUCCAAAGAUCAGCUUAAGGCUCGGAGUGUCUGCUUUGUGUAAUUUCCCCUGCUUUAAUUUCUUUGGCUAGCUGUAUGUGACGAUUUAUCAAUAAUAAAUUGAUAAACUUUUGGUUGCUCUGAAUUAUUGGUUUGCCUCUUUCUUCUAUUCAACUUAUCUUAUUUAAAAUAAUUGUGUGAUCAUUUAAAUAAUUAUGUUUAACAUAUAAAUUCAUCCUUCUAAACAAACUAAAAAACUGAAGUUCGGAGGAGAAGUAGCAAUUAUGCUACUUGUUUCAAAUAAUACAACAGUCAUCAAGAACUUCAAACUUACUGCAAUGUCUCAUUCAUGAGUUUCAAAGAUCUUAAAGAAGAGACAUCCAUUUCCGCACCCUUCAAGAACAUCUACCCUCUUUUUAUAUCGGUGGCUACAAAUCUAGUGAUAAAUUUACGAAAAAUAUGCAAGAAGUUGUUCUAAAUACAUACAAAGCUGACAGAGGCGAAUGUGGAUUUUUCUCAGCCAUGGCAUGACAAAUUGACAGCGGUAGUUCGAGGAAGAAGCUGCCAACAACCAUCAAUCAAUUAGUAUAGGGAGGAAGGGACCCUCAUGCAACUAUGCUCUAAAGUUGAAUGUAUCACAUCAUUCCAAAACACACUUUGAUUCAUCUUUUAAUAUUUCACACCAUACUUCUCUUUCUCUUGUGCUCAAAAUUUCUUUUUUGCUGCAAAAGAAUUUGUUUUUUUGGGUAAUUUGUGUUUUUUUCUUUAUGUCUUGUUAGUACUUCAUAACUAUGAAUUUGUAUUUACUCUUGUAUUAAGACAAUUAAAUUAUUAUGAAGUUAGUUUUAUUGUUACUGUUGCGUUGAACUCUGAUUGACUUAUUUGAAGGAUAAGUUUGUAUGUAAGUUUGGGUUCGUAUAGGUAUAAAACUUUGAACGAGAACCUUAUCUAUGUGCUGGUCAUGAAUUCACAAAUCGAGUAGUGAUAUUUUUUAUAAAAUUUUUAUUGUUUUUAAUUUCACCUAUCAAUCUAAGUUUAUAGUGUAAUACUAUUUUUUAUUUUAAUCUUCUUUCUUUUGAUUUUUUUUUUUCGUUUUGUUAAUAUUUUUUAUUUUUUUUAAUUUAACUUUCAAAUUUAAAACAUGUUGUUGCCCUUAGAUUUAUUUUUUAUUGCACUUUUAAUCCUUAUUAUUUUUAUUUUGAAUUUUUUUGUAUUGUUAAUUUAUAUAAGCUUAACCCUCAUAACUUUUUCAUAUAUAAUACUUUUGGUUUUAUAUCUCGGAUUACGGUUUAAAAAAUUAACAAUAAUUAACUAUUUUUGUCUUAUGCUUCUGAGAUUAAAAAAUAUAUAUAUAUAUAUAUAUAUUAAAAAAAAAUUAUAACUUUUUUAUUCUCAUUUCAUUUAUACUUUGUUAGCAAAUAAUUUCAGAUGUAAGUUCAAGAACAUGGAUCGUCAUGUUGAGACAAACCCAUAGGACCAAAUCCCAGGCAAAAGAAAGUUACAGCAAAGAAUAAAGAGGGGAGCACCAAAUUAAUGACAAUUGAAUGGCAAUCACUGUAUCAAAUGGCAUUGUUCUACUUUUGUGGGAACCGACAGAUUAAUUUGGAUCUGCAGAGAUUUGAGAGAUCUUACCUUUUUAUCUGAAGACAUUGUAGCAUGGCAUGUCUGGCUCUGCACUGAAAACGACAGUUUUAGGAUUUACCACAGCAUGAAAAGCUUCCAGAGGGACACAUGAGCUCUUAAGCACUUGGCAGCAUAUUUUCUGAUAGCAUUUUUGAAAAAAAUUAAAAUAUUUUUGGCAACUAGAUUUUUUUUUUUUCACGGCAGUUAUUAUUAACAAGGAUAUCAUUUAAUAAAGAUACAGCUAGCAAAACAAUUGGUUGGAACCAAAUCUAGCAAAAAUCAUAAACAUGCCGUUAAAAAGAUAAAAACUGCUCUAAUCAAAGGAAGAACACACGGGAAUCAAUAGAAACCAUGUUGCUUCUCAAUGAAAAGACUAUUCCUGCACGUUUUCUCAUCUUCAAAGCAAAAGUGAAAGGCAAAGUCAACAGCUGAAGUUUAUUUAUAUCAUGAGUAAUUUAGCAACAACACCUUGUACAGAACAAUGUCGUUUGCAUCAAUUUUAACCACCAUCACGGUUGAUUUUUAUGUUAAAUAGGUCUAUUUAAUUAGAGGAAUUUAUCCUGAAUGUUUUUUCUUUAUCCAGAACAUUGCGCGUGUCAAGAGAAUAUAGGGAGAGGGAGGGACCCUCUGCUUUCAAGUUGUCUACUGGCUCACAUGGAUUUGGACACUCAAGAUAAGAAGGUAGGGUCAUGUUCUUCGCCUUUGCAUGACUAAUCUGACAGCAGUGGUUCGUGGAAGAUGCUGCCAGCUGCAAUCAAUCAAUUAAUACAGUGAGAGAGGGACCCUCUGCUUUCAAGUUGUCUACUGGCUCACAUGGAUUUGGACACUCAAGAUAAGAAGGUAAGGCCAUUUUCUUCGCCUUUGCAUGACUAAUCUGACACCAGUGGUUCGUGGAAGAUGCUGCCAGCUGCAAUCAAUCAAUUAAUACAGUGAGGGAGGGACCCUCUGCUUUCAAGUUGUCUACUGGCUCACAUGGAUUUGGACACUCAAGAUAAGAAGGUAAGGCCAUUUUCUUCGCCUUUGCAUGACUAAUCUGACACCAGUGGUUCGUGGAAGAUGCUGCCAGCUGCAAUCAAUCAAUUAAUACAGUGAGGGAGGGACCCUCUGCUUUCAAGUUGAAUGCAUCUCCCCAUUCCAAAACACACUUCAUUUCAUCCCUACUUCACAACUUUCAGACCAUUCUUAUCUCUCUUUACCUCAAUCUUUCUUCUUUGAUUUCCCAAAGAAAACAAGAGAAUAUGGCAGCAGAGCUUUUUCUUACGUUGGCCAUAGAGGAGACUUUGAGAAGGUUGAGUUCCAUAGCUGUUGAAGGGAUCGGACUUGCUUGGGGAUUGGAGAAACAGCUGCAAAAGCUAAAGCAAUCCUUGACCUGGAUCAAAGAUGUGCUCCAAGAUGCAGCAAUAAAGUCAGUCACAAACGAUUCUGUGAGGGGUUGGCUGGAGAAACUACAAGAUGUAGCUUCCGAUGCUGAAGAUGUUCUAGACGAGUUUGCUUAUGAGAUUCUCCGAAAAGACCAAAAGAAGGGAAAGGUACGUGACUUUUUUUCAUCCCGCAACCCUGCCGCAUUCCGUUUGAAUAUGGGUCGGAAAGUUCAGAAGAUCAUUGAAGCCCUGGAUAAAAUCCUGGAUGUUGGCUCUCGUCUUGGGUUGAGAAAUCUACCUGAAGUUAGGCGGGAUCCACGCCGACAGACAGAUUCCAUCCUUGACAGCUCAGCAGUUGUAGUAGGAAGGGAGAAUGAUGUCUCUGAAGUUGUGGAAUUGUUGACUAGCAUGACCAAAUCCGAACACGCCCUUUCAGUUGUCCCAAUAGUGGGGAUGGCUGGCCUUGGAAAGACUACUAUAGCAAAAAAGGUUUUCCAAGAAGUCAAGGACAGAAAGCUUUUUGAUGUAACAAUAUGGGUUUGUGUUUCUAACCAUUUUGAUGAAGUGCAGAUUCUACGAGAGAUGUUGCAAAAGAUUGAUAAAACUACUGGCUGGGUGGACAAUCUUGAUGCAAUUCUUGAAAACCUCAAGAAAGAGCUGGAAAAGAAAACAUUUCUUCUUGUUCUUGAUGAUGUGUGGAAUGAAGACCAUGAUAAGUGGGCUGGUUUGAAGGAGGGAUUGUUAAAAAUUAGAGACAAGAAUGGGAAUGCAGUUGUUGUUACAACCCGCCUUGAGGAAGUAGCAAGCAUGAUAUUGAAGACUUGUCCUGGGAGUCAGCACGAGCCAUGGAGACUGUCAGAGAAUCAAUGUUGGUCAAUUAUCAAGCAAAAGGUGAAUGGGGGUGGAGGAGCAUCAAUGGCUUCAGACUUGGAGUCUAUUGGACAAGAGAUUGCAAAGAAAUGUGGAGGGCUUCCAUUGCUAGCUAAUGUUUUGGGAGGAACAUUGAGCCAAAUGGAGAUACAGGAGUGGCAGUCAAUUCUAAACAGUAAAAUUUGGGAGUCCCGUGAUGGAAAUGAAGCUUUGCAUAUAUUGAGACUCAGUUUUGAUCACCUGUCAUCGCUAUCACUGAAAAAAUGUUUUGCAUACUGUUCUAUUUUUCCUAAAGAUUUUAAAAUUGAAAGGGAAGAGCUAAUUCAACUUUGGAUGGCCGAAGGUUUUCUCGGGCCAUCAAAUAGGACGAUGGAAGACGAAGGCAACAAGUGUUUCAAUGACUUGCUUGCAAAUUCCUUUUUCCAAGAUGUUGAAAGGAAUGAGUGUGAGAUCGUAACAAGUUGCAAGAUGCAUGAUCUUGUGCAUGAUCUUGCAUUACAGGUCUCAAAAUCAGUAGCGUUAAAUCUGGAGGAGGAUUCGGCUGUUGAUGGUGCAUCUCAUAUUCGUCAUCUAAAUCUCAUAUCUCGUGGGGAUGUUGAGGCAGUAUUUCCAGCGGUUGAUGCUAGAAAAUUGCGAACUGUUUUCUCAAUGGUUGAUGUAUUCAAUGUCUUGGAAAUUCAAAAGCUUGAGAACUCUCAAAUUGCGACGGUCUGAUAUCACAGAGUUACCAGAUUCAAUUUGCAAGCUGAGACAUUUGAGAUAUCUUGAUGUCUCGGUACUGCUAUCAGCGCAUUGCCGGAAUCCAUCACCAAGCUCUACCAUUUGGAAACAUUAAGAUUCAUUGAUUGCAUGUUACUAGAAAAGCUUCCCAAGAAAAUGAGGAAUUUAGUCAGCUUGAGACAUCUUCAUUUUGAUGUUCCAAGGCUAAUGCCAGCUGAGGUGAGACUCUUAACACGCCUUCAAACUCUGCCUUUUUUUGUUGUGGGUCCAGAUCAUAUGGUUGAAGAGCUGGGAUGUUUGAAAGAACUAAGAGGAGAAUUGAAGAUAUGCAAGCUUGAGCAAGUGAGAGACAGAGAAGAAGCUGAGAAGGCAGAACUGAGUGGAAAAAGAAUGAAAAAAUUGGUGUUUGAAUGGAGUAACAGUAGUGUCAAUAGCGAGGAUGUGCUGGAAGGCCUGCAGCCUCACCCAGACAUAAGAAGCUUGACAAUUAAGGGUUAUGGAGGUGAAUAUUUCCCAUCAUGGAUGUCUACAUUGCCACUCAAUAAUCUGACGGUGCUGAGAUUGAAUGGCUGCAGCAAGUUGAGGCAACUCCCAGCACUUGGAUGUCUUCCUCGCCUUCAGAUUCUACAGAUAAAAGGAAUGGGUACUGUACAAUGUAUAGGCAAGGAGUUCUAUAGCAGCAGCAGUGGCAGUGCAGCAGUACUGUUUCCAGCACUAAAAGAACUCACUUUGAAGGAUAUGGAUGGUCUUGAAGAAUGGGUGGUACCAGGUGGAGAAGGUGAUCAAGUAUUUCCUUGUCUUGAAAGGUUGUGCAUUGAGGGGUGUGGCAAGUUGAGGCAACUCCCAGCACUUGGAUGUCUUCCUCACCUUCAGAUUCUACAGAUAAAAGGAAUGGGUACUGUACAAUGUAUAGGCAAUGAGUUCUAUAGCAGCAGCAGUGGCAGUGCAGCAGUACUGUUUCCAGCACUAAAAGAACUCACUUUGAAGUAUAUGGAUGGUCUUGAAGAAUGGGUGGUACCAGGUGGAGAAGGUGAUCGAGUAUUUCCUUGUCUUGAAAGGUUGAGCAUUCUUAAGUGUGGCAAGUUGAGGCAACUCCCAGCACUUGGAUGUCUUCCUCGCCUUCAGAUUCUACAGAUAUAUGGAAUGGGUACUGUAAAAUGUAUAGGCAAGGAGUUCUAUAGCAGCAGCAGUGGCAGUGCAGCAGUACUGUUUCCAGCACUAAAAGAACUCACUUUGGAGGAUAUGGAUGGUCUUGAAGAAUGGGUGGUACCAGGUGGAGAAGGUGAUCAAGUAUUUCCUUGUCUUGAAACGUUGUGC
rnacentral:lncRNA from 1 species